AGUGAACGCUGGCGGUAGGCCUAACACAUGCAAGUCGAACGGCAGCACAGUAAGAGCUUGCUCUUACGGGUGGCGAGUGGCGGACGGGUGAGGAAUACAUCGGAAUCUACUUUUUCGUGGGGGAUAACGUAGGGAAACUUACGCUAAUACCGCAUACGACCUACGGGUGAAAGCAGGGGAUCUUCGGACCUUGCGCGAUUGAAUGAGCCGAUGUCGGAUUAGCUAGUUGGCGGGGUAAAGGCCCACCAAGGCGACGAUCCGUAGCUGGUCCGAGAGGAUGAUCAGCCACACUGGAACUGAGACACGGUCCAGACUCCUACGGAGGCAGCAGUGGGGAAUAUUGGACAAUGGGCGCAAGCCUGAUCCAGCCAUACCGCGUGGGUGAAGAAGGCCUUCGGGUUGUAAAGCCCUUUUGUUGGGAAAGAAAAGCAGCAGGUUAAUACCCCGCUGUUCUGACGGUACCCAAAGAAUAAGCACCGGCUAACUUCGUG
rnacentral:rRNA from 1 species